rnacentral:lncRNA from 1 species
AAAAAUCCGUCUGGUACGGUGAAAGUCGGCCUGAAUACUGAAAAAUGUUGGCCUGGAUACCAAAAUAAAUGGUAACGCAGGAAUAACCAUGGCCUUAAUGCCGCAUCCACUGGGGAUUAUUAUUAUUUUAUUUUUUUGCUUUUCUUGAACCCCAAACUUCAUCUUUUGAUUGUUUUUUUUUUUUUGCUUUUCUUGGACCCCAAAACUUCUUUGAUUUUCAUUUCCAUCCCCGCCCGACAGAAAUUUCCUCCAGUAUCGCACUACUGGGGAAUACCGUUGACCCAACGUCACGAUGCUAAACUCCUCAGAGUAACACCUUCUAACUUCCAUCUCGCACGACAGAAAUCUCCUCCAAUAUUGCACUACUGGGGGAAUACCGUUGACCCAACG